rnacentral:rRNA from 1 species
AUAACUAAGCGGAGGAAAAGAAACCAACCGGGAUUCCCCCAGUAACGGCGAGUGAAGCGGGAAAGCCCAGCGCCGAAUCCACCGUGGCUAACGCCCGGCUGGAACUGUGGCGUGUGGGACGCGGCCAGUCGGCUGGAAAGAUACCCGAGUCCCCCCGAGCGGGGCCCUUCCCAUAGCGGGUGCCAGGCCUCUGCCGGUAUCUAUCCGGUCGACCGCUGCAGUCUCUGGAGUCGGGUUGCUUGGGAAUGCAGCCCGAAGCGGGAGGUAACUCCUCCUAAGGCUAAAUACCGGCGCGAGUCCGAUAGCGGACAAGUACCGCGAGGGAAAGU